rnacentral:rRNA from 1 species
UACGUAGGGUCCGAGCGUUGUCCGGAAUUACUGGGCGUAAGGAGCUCGUAGGUGGUUUGUCGCGUUGUUCGUGAAAACUCACAGCUCAACUGUGGGCGUGCGGGCGAUACGGGCAGACUGGAGUACUGCAGGGGAGACUGGAAUUCCUGGUGUAGCGGUGGAAUGCGCAGAUAUCAGGAGGAACACCGGUGGCGAAGGCGGGUCUCUGGGCAGUAACUGACGCUGAGGAGCGAAAGCGUGGGGAGCGAACAGG